rnacentral:rRNA from 1 species
UACGGGGGGGGCAAGCGUUGUUCGGAAUUAUUGGGCGUAAAGAGCGCGUAGGCGGUCCGGUAAGUCCGCUGUGAAAGUCGGGGGCUCAACCCUCGAAUGCCGGUGGAUACUGUCGGGCUAGAGUACGGAAGAGGCGAGUGGAAUUCCUGGUGUAGCGGUGAAAUGCGCAGAUAUCAGGAGGAACACCAAUUGCGAAGGCAGCUCGCUGGGACGUUACUGACGCUGAGACGCGAAAGCGUGGGGAGCAAACAGG